rnacentral:rRNA from 1 species
GUGGGGAAUAUUGCACAAUGGGCGAAAGCCUGAUGCAGCGACGCCGCGUGAGCGAUGAAGUAUUUCGGUACGUAAAGCUCUAUCAGCAGGGAAGAUAAUGACGGUACCUGACUAAGAAGCACCGGCUAAAUACGUGCCAGCAGCCGCGGUAAUACGUAUGGUGCAAGCGUUAUCCGGAUUUACUGGGUGUAAAGGGAGCGUAGGCGGCGUGGUAAGUCAGAAGUGAAAGCCCGGGGCUCAACCCCGGGACUGCUUUUGAAACUAUCAUGCUAGAGUGUCGGAGAGGUAAGUGGAAUUCCUAGUGUAGCGGUGAAAUGCGUAGAUAUCGGGAGGAACACCAGUGGCGAAGGCGGCUUCCUGGCACAAUACUGACGCUCAUGUGCGAAAGCUAGGGCAGCGAACGGGAUUAGAUACCCCAGUAGUCC